UACGGAAGGCAGCAGUGGGGAAUAUUGCACAAUGGGCGCAAGCCUGAUGCAGCCAUGCCGCGUGUAUGAAGAAGGCCUUCGGGUUGUAAAGUACUUUCAGCGGGGAGGAAGGCGAUGCGGUUAAUAACCGCGUCGAUUGACGUUACCCGCAGAAGAAGCACCGGCUAACUCCGUGCCAGCAGCCGCGGUAAUACGGAGGGUGCAAGCGUUAAUCGGAAUUACUGGGCGUAAAGCGCACGCAGGCGGUCUGUUAAGUCAGAUGUGAAAUCCCCGGGCUUAACCUGGGAACUGCAUUUUGAAACUGGCAGGCUUGAGUCUUGUAGAGGGGGUAGAAUUCCAGGUGUAGCGGUGAAAUGCGUAGAGAUCUGGAGGAAUACCGGUGGCGAAGGCGGCCCCUGGGACAAAGCUGACGCUCAGGUGCGAAAGCGUGGGGAGCAAACAGGAUUAGGAUACC
rnacentral:rRNA from 1 species